GGGUUCUUGGCCGAGUGGCCUAAGGCAGCGGUCUUGAAAACCGCCGACGAUUUGCGUCGUCCAUCCGUUCGAAUCGGAUAGAACCCGCCA
rnacentral:tRNA from 1 species